GACGAGCGCUGGCGGCGUGCUUAACACAUGCAAGUCGAACGGAAAGGCCCCCACCUUGGUGGGGGUGCUCGAGUGGCGAACGGGUGAGUAACACGUGGGUGAUCUGCCCUGUACUUCGGGAUAAGCUUGGGAAACUGGGUCUAAUACCGGAUAGGACCAUGGUUUAGUGUCUCAUGGUGGAAAAAUUAUUGUUUUGGUGCAGGAUGAGCUCGCGGCCUAUCAGCUUGUUGGUGGGGUAAUGGCCUACCAAGGCGUCGACGGGUAGCCGGCCUGAGAGGGUGGACGGCCACAUUGGGACUGAGAUACGGCCCAGACUCCUACGGGAGGCAGCAGUGGGGAAUAUUGCACAAUGGGCGCAAGCCUGAUGCAGCGACGCCGCGUGGGGGAUGACGGCCUUCGGGUUGUAAACUCCUUUCGUUAGGGACGAAGCCACACCUUUUUUGGGUGUGGUGACGGUACCUUUGUUAAGAAGCACCGGCUAACUACGUG
rnacentral:rRNA from 1 species